GCGCCCGUAGCUCAGCUGGAUAGAGCGCUGCCCUCCGAAGGCAGAGGCCACAGGUUCGAAUCCUGUCGGGUGCGCCA
rnacentral:tRNA from 3 species